UAGAGUUUGAUCCUGGCUCAGGACGAACGCUGGCGGCGUGCCUAACACAUGCAAGUCGAACGGAGUUAUACUUGACACAGGGCGUCCUCGAAAGAGGAUGUCGUGUGUUGAGUAUAGCUCAGUGGCGGACGGGUGAGUAACGCGUGAGCAAUCUGCCUUACAGAGGGGGAUAACAGCUGGAAACGGCUGCUAAUACCGCAUGAUAUGCACUGGGGACAUCCCCGGAGUAUCAAAGAUUUUAUCGCUGUAAGAUGAGCUCGCGUCCAAUUAGAUAGUUGGCGGGGUAAUGGCCCACCAAGUCGACGAUUGGUAGCCGGACUGAGAGGUUGAACGGCCACAUUGGGACUGAGAUACGGCCCAGACUCCUACGGGAGGCAGCAGUGGGGGAUAUUGCACAAUGGGGGAAACCCUGAUGCAGCAACGCCGCGUGAGUGAAGAAGGCCUUCGGGUUGUAAAGCUCUUUCAGACGGAAAGAAAACGCAUCGGUGAAUACCCGGUGUGGAUGACGGUACCGUAAGAAGAAGCACCGGCUAACUACGUGCCAGCAGCCGCGGUAAUACGUAGGGUGCGAGCGUUAAUCGGAAUUACUGGGCGUAAAGCGUGCGCAGGCGGUUAUGUAAGACAGAUGUGAAAUCCCCGGGCUCAACCUGGGAACUGCAUUAGUGACUGUAUAGCUAGAGUGCGGCAGAGGGGGAUGGAAUUCCGCGUGUAGCAGUGAAAUGCGUAGAUAUGCGGGAGGAACACCGAUGGCGAAGGCAAUCCCCUGGGCCUGCACUGACGCUCAUGCACGAAAGCGUGGGGAGCAAACAGGAUUAGAUACCCUGGUAGUCCACGCCCUAAACGAUGUCAACUGGUUGUUGGGUCUUCACUGACUCAGUAACGAAGCUAACGCGUGAAGUUGACCGCCUGGGGAGUACGGCCGCAAGGUUAAAACUCAAAGGAAUUGACGGGGACCCGCACAAGCGGUGGGAUGAUGUGGUUUAAUUCGAUGCAACCCGGAAAACCUUACCCACCUUUGACAUGUCCGGGAGAUCGCAGAGACGCGAUUGUGCUCGAAAGAGAACCCGUAACGCAGGUGCUGCAUGGCUGUCGUCAACUCGGGUCGUGGAGAAUGUUGGGGUUAAGUUCCGCAACCGGGCGCACGCUUGGCAAUUAGUUGCCUAAAUUCAGUUGGGGCACCUCUUAUGGACUGCGGGGUGAACAAACCGGAGAGAAGGGUGGGGGGGAAUGUGAACGUUCUCAGGAGUCUCCUCGCA
rnacentral:rRNA from 1 species